UGUCCAGUAGCACCUUAGAGAUCAACUAAGUUUAUUCUGGGUAUAAGCUUUCAUGUGCAUGCUUAUACCCAGAACAAACUUAGUUGGUCUCUAAGGUGCCACUGGACA